rnacentral:rRNA from 1 species
UGGGGAAUAUUGGACAAUGGGGGCAACCCUGAUCCAGCAAUGCCGCGUGUGUGAAGAAGGUUUUCGGAUUGUAAAGCACUUUCGGCGGGGACGAUGAUGACGGUACCCGCAGAAGAAGCCCCGGCUAACUUCGUGCCAGCAGCCGCGGUAAUACGAAGGGGGCUAGCGUUGCUCGGAAUGACUGGGCGUAAAGGGCGUGUAGGCGGUUUGUACAGUCAGAUGUGAAAUCCCCGGGCUUAACCUGGGAGCUGCAUUUGAUACGUGCAGACUAGAGUGUGAGAGAGGGUUGUGGAAUUCCCAGUGUAGAGGUGAAAUUCGUAGAUAUUGGGAAGAACACCGGUGGCGAAGGCGGCAACCUGGCUCAUGACUGACGCUGAGGCGCGAAAGCGUGGGG